GUUAAAAUGGUUCAAUUUAGUUUUCCUUUUUUGCAAUCUCAUUUCGCGUGAGAACAUACAAGUUGAUAUUUUGUACGACGUUGAGAUGGUAACAUUUUCUUAGGCUAACAUUUUUUUUCGUUGUCGUUUAAUUUGAAAUGUGUUUUAGGUGCUACAUUUAGGUCAAAACCCUAAUUUGUCCUUCUAUAUGCAUUAGUCUCUUCUGGACUAUGAAAGACACAAGACACAAAGUGACGAGCUUCAACUGCCGGUAGCAACACUUACUGAAGUUUCUGCUUUUGACGUUGAUAAUCCAACACUGCGACGUUGCGGCGUUUCUUUCAUCUGAGAUUCCUCUGGAUUUGGAGGACGGCGGCGAACAAAAAGAGUGGUAGCGGAAGAUCUAGAAGAGCAACGAAAUUGAAGUUUGUCGGCAUCGAAUUUAGGUUGGUUAAAUGACCUUGAUUCUCCACCGCUGUCGUGUAAUAUACAUAUUCUCUUAGGGGGAGGCAACUCCACCGUUUGUUUGCUCUGUAAUCUUUUUUUUUCUUCACUGAUAUUCAUACCGUAUUAUUUUUUAUGGGUUAUUUGAUUUUUUGGAGUCUGGUCUUGAUCGUCUGCUAUCAAUUGUUUAGGCUUUCUAGCUUGCUUCUGGUGUUCCCCGGCAAAUUUAAAGAAGGCGGCAUGAUCGAAGAUGGCAAGACGAGGUUAUUUAGGAACUUCGAUGUUUAGUGAUACACUAUCGUGCACGUUAACUGUCUUGCCAAGAUCAAUCUGGCGGGCCCACUCGAUACUGUUUGGGUCAACAAUUGUUGAAUAUCGACAGGUCUUAUCAGCUUUCGGUUUAGUGCACAAGAUUGUUGCAUUUCAGAAGGCUGCUGAUUUUCAGGUGAAGAUUUGAUGAAGAAUUUAUUUAUUUUUCAUUCAGCUGGCUGAAUCUGUGUCUGCAGCCUGUGCCUAUGACACGCUUAUAUAACAUAUUUCUUUCGCGUCUGAUUCUUCAAUUUGUUUAUUCAGUCUUCCGCGUUCCUCCCCACCUAAGUUUUGUGCAUUGCUGGAAAUUUCGUCCUUGCUGAUUGUUGUAAUUUUCGCUUGUAAUAUUUUUUGCUUCCGCUGUUGCGCUAGAUGUUCCUGAUACUUUUACAACAAGGUUUUGUUUGAGUGAUUCUGUUGCACAAAGAUUAAUUUAGAUUAUGUGUAAAUGCAUUGGUAUUCUUUUUUAA